CCUACGGGAGGCAGCAGUGGGGAAUAUUGCACAAUGGGCGAAAGCCUGAUGCAGCAACGCCGCGUGAGCGAUGAAGGCCUUCGGGUCGUAAAGCUCUGUCCUCAAGGAAGAUAAUGACGGUACUUGAGGAGGAAGCUCCGGCUAACUACGUGCCAGCAGCCGCGGUAAUACGUAGGGGCCUAGGGUUAUCUGGAAGUACUGGGCGAAAGGGGUGCGUAGGUGGUUUGUUAAGUCAGAGGUGAAAGGCUAGGGCUCAACCGUAGAAAGCCUUUGAAACUGGGGAACUUGAGUGCAGGAGAGGAGAGUGGAAUUCCUGGUGUAGCGGUGAAAUGCGUAGAUAUUAGGAGGAACACCAGUCGCGAAGGCGGCUCUCUGGACUGUAACUGACACUGAGGCACGAAAGCGUGGGGAGCAAACAGGAUUAGAUACCCCUGUAGUC
rnacentral:rRNA from 1 species